CAGUGUAAGGUCAGAGCGGUCAUGUGAGAAGCGCAUUGUUUACGUCGUCGCCGCGUAAUGUACGGUCGACGCCGGUCGCGGAGCAGCAGGCGUCACGUCCCGUCACGCGCCGUCGUCGUUCAUCGCAGCCAGGCGGAUCUCGCUGUGAAUUUCACGAAUCUCACGACGACCGGGAUUGAUCCCGCUUUUCUCUUUUCUACCCGCGAAGGAGAAUUGAAUCUCACGAACGCGAGAGACGACAGACAGACCGAGCGAGCGACUGACCGACCACAACCGACCGUUGGCGCCGAUCGAGACUUUCGAAAUGAUUGCGAUUAUCGAAGUCGCAAUCGACACGGCCAGCUUCACGGCACCGGUAUGGGAGCUAACCUAACACCGCUAACGCUCGGCGACGAUCGUCGCGAUGACGAUGAUGAUCUCGCCUGGGCGCGUAGCCAUCAUCCCGCCGGGUGCUCGCGCGUGGAAGCGGCGACCUCGCUGCCGCUGCUCAUCGCACGACCACCACGUUCAACCGCCUUCCCCGCGCGCCGUCCAUUUAUAUCGCGAGUAAAAAGUAUAUGUACACGAUCGCGGACGAUUGGCGCCUUUGUUUAACUCCGCGCUAACUUCAUGACGCUCCGCGAGCCCCGCAAGGACGCCGCAUGCGCACGGCGCUACGCCGACGAUCACGUGGCCACCGCGGUAUAAAUCCGUUCAAAUGCCACAUAAAAUUUUCUUAGAUAUAUCAACCGUACGAAUUAAAGAAUGCCUACUGUUUAUGCAUGCAUGAAAAAAGACGUCCUACGCCAAUUCACGCAGCCGUAUUGUUUUGUAUUUUACAUUAUUAGUAUAUAUUUUCUUUCUUACAAGGCUUACUCUUUGGAAUAAAAAAAGAUUCAACUUAAUCGAUUAGUUUUCUAGCAAUUCCUCAUGAUUAUUGGACCCCUUUUCAGGGCCGAGACAUGUAUAUGACUCCUUAAUAGGAGAGAAAGAAAGUUAAAGUAACAAGGGCAAAUAAUAACAGUUAAAUGACAAAUAGUAGUCUCUACUCAGUGAUAUGAAUACUUCAGUAUUUGACUGAUUAAGAACAAAAAAUCUACAGUUCAAAGCAAUUUAAUCUAUUGAUCGAACAUUUUCAAGCACUUACGUAUAUAUCUCUGAUACAGAUUUUCUUAAUAAAAGAAUAACAGAAAUAAAAUAAAAAAGAAUACAUCAAUGAAGCAUUAAACAUAUUUUAGAAAAUAUUUUAUAAAAGAUAACUAAUUAUCUUUAAUUUUCAAGUUUAAUUUACGAUUAAACCCGUAUCUUUUAUUUUUUCAAAUAUGCGUUUAAUUGUAUCCAUAUUUGUGCUUUAUGUAGAAUAGACUGGAUGCAUUCAGCAAACGGAGCGGAUCAUUGAGCGCUUAGUGAUUCUGUAAUGAUUGGUCCUUGUUUUUAGUUCUUUGUUCUUGAAUUUAGAAGCAGAAACAAAUCAUAAUAAAGAAUCACUGAGCGUUUACUGAUCCACUCUGUCUGCUGAACGCGCUCAAAAUAGUCAAAGAAUAGAUCUAAUAAAAUCAUAAAUUGUAUAUAAAAUACGAAAUUUAUAUUAUUUCAAAUUAAAAAAAAUUUUUUAAACUUUUUCCUCUAAUUUAAAAAACAAUUAAACUUUAGUUUAAUUAUAUAAUUCGUAGCAAUAAAAGAUUACAUCUUAUAACUUUCUAGCUAUAGUACAUUUAUACUGAUUAAUUAUAUGAACGCAAUGAGGAUUAGAUUAUUUCAAUAAAUAUAUAAAAGAUAUAUCAAUUGUAAUCAUAUAACAUUUAAUUUAUCGUAUACUUAAGCGUUACUUAUAUAACAAAAGAAUUGACAGUUUAAUAUAGUCAUUAAACUAUUAUUUCCUUGAACUUUUUUUAUAACUAUUUUACAAAAAUAUGUAUUCAUACGUACUUAAAAAUAUGUAACUCAAAGUCAUCAAAUAAAUCAUGACCCAUGUUGCUCCA
rnacentral:lncRNA from 1 species